rnacentral:lncRNA from 1 species
UUUAUAUGUAUGUAAUCGAUAAACACGUAGACUAGAUUUGAUCUGUGUGUACAUUGUAAAACUGUAAAGUUACCUUGUUUUCACAUCCAGUGAUGAAGUGCGGUUGCUUUGGUCUUCGGGACCUUUUCAUAGUUUCCUUCCUUUGCUUCUGCCACCUCUUUUAGAAUAAGGAGUGCUUCACUGUGGAGUUGUCACGAAGACUCUCAGCCCUGGAUAUACAGGCAUACUUUUGGACAUCCAAGCAUGUUUUUAGUAUGUUUUUUUUGCUAAUUAGAUAUAUUAGGGACAUAUUAUUUAAAUUUUCUAAAGAAGCCUCAGUCUCUGUAGCAUAGAGUGAGGGUGUUUAAGUAUUUCCUAAAAGAAACAGUAUGAUAUUUAUGUGAGAGCAUGUCAGGUAAAUAUAGUUUCAUUAUAUAUUACGUAUUAAGUUAUGAUGUUAUGCCUGCAUAUAACAUUAUUUAUCAACAUUAAGUUUAUCAUUUAUGAGCAUCAUCUAUUAGAUUCCUGUUGAAGCUGAAAGUAUAUUGUCAUAUGAGAACAUGGUAGCACAUGCUACAUUAGGGGAGGAGGUUCCCCUUGAAUUUUAGCUCUUACAAUCAGGUUUUUUAAAUGUAUAUGUGUCUCUGUUGAUUUGAAGUGCAGGACCCCUCCCCUGUUUUCUGUGGUGGAGAGCAAAUUCAGAGUUGUAUGCGUUGUUACGCAUGCUAGGCAAAGCACUGUUACCACUGGGCUGCACUCUCUUGUAGUUCCAUGCUUGUUUUUAAUUUUUUAGGGUUUUUUUUUGACAGAAAUAUUUAAAUUAUGAAUUUAUGUGUGAAUGUGUGCAGACAGUUUGAGGCCGAGAUGACUUGUUGCUGGAGUUAUCGGUUCUUGUGAGCCUCCUGAGUAGGUCCUGGGAACUGAACUUGGAUUUUCUGCAGGAGCAGUAUGGAAUCAUAAGACCACUGUACCAUCUCUGUGCUCCUCCUUUUCGCCCCUUUCUUUCUGAGGCAGGGUCUAGGUAUUCCUGGAUCUUACUGUGUAGCUAAGAAUGACUUUCUCUCCUAAUUAGCUGAUUGUCUUCCCCUCCCAAGUGUUUAUGGUUACAGGUGCAUGUCAUCAUGCUUGCUUUCUAGGAAUUUGUUGAAUUACAAUUUUCUGAUUUGGACUGAGGAUCUGACCAUUAUUUAUGCUUCUACAGUGUUUGUUGUUGUGAAUUUUGUCCUAAUAUGUGUUGAUUAAUUAUGCACAAAUAGAAAUUGCCUCUCUUCUUUCCAGAUACAUGACCUGAUCCAGAUGUCAGGGGGUGGCUAAGUUAUUUUAAUUUGCUACCCACACUGUGUUUUGAAUGCUGUAGAUGUUUGUCCUAUUAUAGAAACAAAUCCAGGGUAUGACUCUGGACACAGGACUGGUAAGCCGGAGACACUUACCUGACGGGAGCAGAUAGUGGUAGGAAGAGUGUGUUACUGUGCUUGGCUUCUCUUUUACACUGACCUUGAAAUGUAGCUUACCUUUUACUGUAAUAAAAUUGCUUUAGCUGAAUAGCCCAAAGAUUGAGUACUUGCUCAGCAUGUGGGAAGUCCCACGUCUGAGUCUGCCGUAUUGGAAGGAGGGGGUAAAAAAGAAAGAUGCAACAAACCCUUUUUUGUCACAUAAUUUUUAAGAGAGGACAAACACUGAAUAACCGUUUCAAGAUAGAUUAAGUUAGUGUGGUCAUUAGGAGGGAAGAUGUGUAAUAUAUUCUUAUUUUCACAUUCAUAUCUGGUGGGUCUUGAGUGUACUUGAAAUGAUGAGUGAUUUUGUUGUUGUUGUUUUUCAGUCUAGACUCCAAGCUCUUGCUCCCUUUAGUGAACAUUUGGAGGUUAUUUUGAAACAUAGAGGUGGAUUUCUUAAAGAGGAGUUGUAGGAUAGAUACUCUAGGGGCUAAGUAGAACCUCUUUCAUCUUGAGUCCCAUCAGCUUCUUGGCCACCUUGUGGUCUUUGUGUCUGCUCUUCUCUGCUCUCCUCUGUGUUGUUACCUUUUUUUUUUUUUUUUUUUUAAUUCAAAGGUACCUUGGCAAGGCCUUCCCUACUGCUUUUUGCUGCUGUGCUUGCUACCUUUUGUUUUUUGUAGGACUUAGUUCUUAUUGUACUGGGUACCUGCCUAAUUUGUGUUUUCCUUACUAGAUUCUAUGGGCAGCUUUUGUCUCUCACUGCUUAGCAGUCUAUUAAUACAUAAUGUGCAGCACAUAGUAGGCAAUGCACUUGUAGAGUCAGUGACUGAAAAGUGGGCUAAUGAUGGUUCUUGAUUGUAUUGAAGAUUAGGAAGUGUUUUUUACACAAAGGUGGUUAUGACUCCUGACAUUUCUACAGUUGAGGUAUUUGGCUUUAUUAUAAAUGUUAUAAUUUGAUUGUACCGAUUCUUUUAAAAGCUUUGUAACACUUUUUAAAAUUUGAUAUUGAAUCUUUUGUAAAUUGUUGUUUCAUCCAUUCAAAUACUGCAACCUGCCACCACCAUUUCUGUUUUUUGUUUACUAAAUCAGUAAGAAUUACUAGUAUUAAGCCUGAUUUUAUAUGUGCAUAUAUGUAUAUUAUAUACAUAAAAUACACUUACAUAUAGUAAAACGUAGAUGUAUACAUAUAGUCUAUAUAUCUAGAUAGAUAGAUAUAUACUUAAAUUUAGUAAAACUUAAGAGAUUAGUAUAGCCUAAUGCUUUUGGCAUGUAGUUGAGGUUGUUAAAAGUUGAUUACAGCCGGGCGUGGUGGCGCACGCCUUUAAUCCCAGCACUCGGGAGGCAGAGGCAGGCGAAUUUCUGAGUUCGAGGCCAGCCUGGUCUACAGAGUGAGUUCCAGGACAGCCAGGGCUAUAAAGAGAAACCCUGUCUCG